rnacentral:rRNA from 1 species
UACGUAGGUGACGAGCGUUAUCCGGAAUUACUGGGCGUAAAGCGCAAGCAGGCGGUCUGUUAAGUUUGACGUAAAAUCUCCUGGCUUAACUGGGAGGGGUCGUUGGAGACUGGCAGACUUGAGGCGAUGAGAGGGGCAUGGAAUUCCCGGUGUAGUGGUGGAAUGCGUAGAGAUCGGGAGGAACACCAGAGGCGAAAGCGGUGCCCUGGCAUUGGCCUGACGCUGAGAUGCGAAAGCGUGGGGAGCGAACGGGAUUAGAUACCCCGGUAGUCCACGCCGUAAACGAUGAGUACUGGGUGUCGGUGGGGUUAGAGCCAUCGGUGCCGAAGCAAACGCGUUAAGUACUCCGCCUGGGGAGUACGGCCGCAAGGCUAAA